rnacentral:rRNA from 1 species
CCUACGGGUGGCAGCAGUAGGGAAUUUUCGGCAAUGGGGGGAACCCUGACCGAGCAACGCCGCGUGAAGGAAGAAGGAAUUCGUUCUGUAAACUUCUGUUAUAAAGGAAGAAAGACGGAUGGAGGAAAUGACAUCCGAGUGACGGUACUUUAUGAGAAAGCCACGGCUAACUACGUGCCAGCAGCCGCGGUAAUACGUAGGUGGCAAGGGUUAGCCGGUAUAAUUGGGCGAAAGGAGGGAGCAGGGGGCAGAAAAGGUCUGUGGUAAACGAAUGAAGCUUAACUUCAGUAAGCCAUAGAAACCGGGCAGCUAGAGUGCAGGAGAGGAACGUGGAAUUCCAUGUGUAGCGGUGAAAUGCGUAGAUAUAUGGAGGAACACCAGUGGCGAAGGCGGCGAUCUGGCCUGCAACUGACGCUCAGUCCCGAAAGCGUGGGGAGCAAAUAGGAUUAGAUACCCCUGUAGUC